UACGGGGGGUGCGAGCGUUGUCCGGAAUCACUGGGCGUAAAGGGCGCGUAGGUGGUUUGAUAAGGGUGUGGUGAAAGCCCGGGGCUCAACCCCGGGUCUGCCGUGCCGACUGUCAAACUCGAGGGCUGUAGAGGCAGACGGAAUUCCGGGUGUAGCGGUGGAAAUGCGUAGAGAUCCGGAGGAAGACCGGUGGCGAAGGCGGUCUGCUGGGCAGUUUCUGACACUGAUGCGCGACAGCGUGGGGAGCAAACAGGAGUUAGA
rnacentral:rRNA from 1 species